GAUUGUUUUGACUGAGAUAAUUGUCUUGGCUGAGAUGAUUGUCUUGGCUGAGAUAAUUGUCUUGCCUGAGAUAAUUGUCUUGCCUGAUAUGAUUGUCUUGGCUGAGAUAAUUGUCUUGGCUGAGAUGAUUGUCUUGCCUGAGAUGAUUGUUUUGACUGAGAUAAUUGUCUUGCCUGAGAUGAUUGUCUUGGCUGAGAUAAUUGUCUUGCCUGAGAUAAUUGUCUUGCCUGAGAUAAUUGUCUUGGCUGAGAUAAUUGUCUUGCCUGAGAUGAUUGUUUUGCCUGAGAUGAUUGUCUUGCCUGAGAUGAUUGUCAUGAAGCAAGACACUGGUGUUACUGUUAUAGUGACAUCAACAUCACAAACACCAAAUGUAAAGUUUUCUCUUAAGUACAUACUUUAGUCAGUCUUAUUUCUUUGACUUAGUAACCUUUGUAUUGUUAACAUAUUUGUUUUAAUUAAAUGUGUUAAUUUAAAAGUACUUCUAAAAGACUAUUCUUAUUGUAAACCUGUUGCAUUGACAUUCCUGCAUUUCAUCUUUAAGUUGAGCAUUAAGCUCCACCCCUUAGUCAUCCAUUAGUGAAUGUCAGAGCAUUAAGCUCCACCUCUUAGACAUCCUUCAGUGACUGUUAGAGCAUUUAGCUCAACCACUUGAGUCAUUUUUCAGUGAAUGUCAGAGCAUUAGGUUCCAUACUUUAGUCAUCCUGCAGUGACUAAGAGUAUUAAGCCCCACCCCUUAGUCCUCCUUCAGUGACUGUAAGAGGAUAAGGUUCCAUCCUUUAGUCAUCCUUCAGUGACUUAGAGCAUUAAGCCCCACCCCUUAGUUCUCCUUCAGUGACUGUGAGAGGAUAAGGUUCCAUCCUUUAGUCAUCCUUCAGUGACUUAGAGCAUUAAGCCCCACCCCUUAGUUCUCCUUCAGUGACUGUGAGAGGAUAAGGUCCAUCCUUUAGUCAUCCUUCAGUAACUUAGAGAAAUAAGCCCCACCCCUUAGUUCUCCUUCAGUGACUGUGAGAGGAUAAGGUUCCAUCCUUUUGUCAUCCUUCAGUAACUUUAGAAGUUUAUUAUUGUGUAAUUGUUAGAUUCAUUCAAACUUUGGCUCAGUAUUGUUAACCUUGCUUGUAGAUAGGACAGCUAAUAUGUAGGAAACACAGAUUUGAGUGUAUUUAUACCUCCCAUUCUAUUUUCACAUGUUAGGUACUUGACCAAGAUUUGUUACUUUUAUUAACAGCAGUAAAGUACAUGACCAAGUAGUCAACAACCACAUGGCAUUUAUACAUGUAUUGGAAAAAUGGCUAUCAAUCAAGAAAUAGUUCAUUCAGUUUUUUUUAUUUUGCUGAAAAUACAUUUAUUUAUUGUAUAUUUGAUGUUUUUGUUGAGAUUUUCUGUAUGUGUUUUAUUUUUGAUGUGUUAAGCUUGAAGCAGGUAUAAUUAUUUAGUCUUAUUUUAUUUUAACCUGUAUAUAUAUAUAUAUAUAUCAUGCCAGAUGACAAAUUUUGCCAAACAUUUUGUCUUUCAUUUUAUUAAAUGUGCUUAUUUUUAAAUAGCUGAAUAUAAUUUUAUUUUAUGACCCUUGUUAAUUAUAUUUUAUUUGUUUAAAGUACAGUCUGGUGCAGUUAUAACCCCACCUGUGUUCUAUUAAAUGUACUUUAUCAAUAUUUAUUUGGAUUAAUUUAUUUUCUGAUCAGUCUUGAUGUUCCCUUUUUUAUUCUUAUGUAUCAUACCUUCUAAAUUUUACACAUGUUCACUUAGGUGUAAUGUUACAGUUACACAUGUGUACUUAUCUGUAAGGUUACAGUUACACAUGUGUAUUUAGCUGUAAGGCUACAGUUGCAUAUGUACACUUAUGUGUAAGGUUAAAGUUACACAUGUACACUUAGGUAUAAGGUUACCCUUACACAUGUACACUUAUGUGUAAGGUUAUAGUUAAUUAUGUACAAUUAGGUGUUUGAUUUCAGUUCACAUAUACACUUAUGUUUAUGGUUACAUUCACACAUGUACUCUUAAAGUAAGGUUACAGUUGCACAUGUACACAUAUGUGUAAGGUUACAUUUGCACAUGUACACUGAUAUGUAAUGUAUCAGUUACACAUGUAUACUUAUUUUUAAGGUUACAGUUACACAUGUACACUAAGGUGUAAUGUUACAGUUACACAUGUACACUUAUUUGUAGGUUAUAGUAACACCAUAUGUAUUUGUAAAGUAAAUAACUUCAUCUAUCUAGUCAUUCUGUUGUUUGUUAUUAUAUUAAUUUUGAUGAAUAUUAGGUAAUCCAACAUUAAUUAUUACCUUUACUUAGGGUUUUAUCUUUUCCUUCCUAAAAGAGAGUUAUUUCAGAAAUGAGAACAAUAAUUUAAAUUUUGGGUUGAUAAAUAUAGUAUUUUUGUAUAUCACACAAAUAUUUUUUGAGAAAUAGAUAAAAACAAAAAUCAAAAUUAAAAGAAUAAUGAUAAUAAUAAACGCAUGUUCUUGACAAAACUGUGUUCAUGUAACCAAAACCUGUCUCCUUGUUUCUUUACCUCAAUUAUUUUCUUUAAUUUCUAUGCGUGCAUUAAAUUAAUAACCUAUAAGAAUUUUAACUUUUUUUCCCCUGCUUUGUUGAGCUGUUUUCAUCACAUCGUAUCUCUCUGCUUUCUGAAAAAAUACAUGUCCCUUAGUCAUUUCUGGGGUGACUUAGAAUCACACUUUUUGUUAAACAGUCUUUAACAGUCUAGCUGAAAUCAAAGAUGGCCACCAUGAUUUAUUUAAUUUUGUGCUUAAUUGGAAUUAUUUAAAGGCUCAAUAAAGGAAAAAAAUAUAAGGGUAUAAUCAGUUUCACUUGCUCAAUAUGUCAAAUAAAAUGGCUACUUAUAUCUGAAAUUUCCUCCUUACAAAUUAUUUUAUUUACAUACGUUGUACUUUAAUCAUUUGUAUAUUGCUCUUUUGUUGCUGUUCUCUAAAAUUUAUGAUUUUGCUUUGUAAAUUAUGUAGUAAGACAGUAACCAUGGUAACAACAACAGGUUUUGUGCAAUCUUUUGAUUUAAAGAAAUCCAGAUAGAGUACCUCAGAAAUCAUACUGAAAUGGACAAUUGUUUGAUAAAUAAAUAGAUAUAUAUAUAUAUAUAUAAUGACAUAUUUUAUAUUAUUCAGCAAUUAAUUUACUUGAUGUAAGGGGGUUAGGCUAACUCUUUAAAUUGAGUUUGUAAAAGGCAGUUUCAUCAAUGCUUCUAAAGAUUUCAUGUGAAACAGAAUUAAAUAUUCUGUGUGACAUAGAAGCUUAGAAUAUAUUUAUGAAAAUGGUCGACUUAAACACAGUAGUGAUUUUAUAAGAGUUAUGUCCCUUAACUACCUCCUUAAUUUCAUUUUAAUGUAAGCUUAAGCAUAUUGCCUGCAUAGCAAAAACCAGUUCAAUAUUCUAUGAUUUGUUACUCCAAUGUCAGUUUUAAUACAUUUGUUUUGUAUUUGAUAGUAUGCCUCGUAUAGCAUGACUGGUACCUGAAUCAAUUUAUUUUCUUCAUGAUAACUUAUAUGUUGAGUAUAUUACUUAAUAAGUAAUUAAUAAAUAAAUUGUAAAGUGCAUCUUUUUUAGAAUCUAAGAACUAGUUCAUUUUUUGGUUAUUAUUUUUUUACAUGUCAGUCAAAUGCACUAGUCCUUCCAAGACAUCAUGUAUUGAUUUAAACAUGAAUAGCUCAAUAACUCAUUUUCAUUAUCAAAUUUUAGGACAUACAUAUAUUGAUAUAUUAUUUUUUAAAGUAGGCAUUUAAAGAAUACUUUGUAGCUCUUACAUACAAUUUUCCUUUUUUUCUAAUCCUUUGUCUCAUGUCCCUUUUUUUAAAGGUAAAUUAAUAUCUUAGUUGUCUCCCUUUUUUGAUAGGUAAAUGCAUAUUUUAGUUGUCUCUCUUAUCUGAUAGGUAAAUUCCUAUCUCAGUUGACUUUCUUUUCUGAUGGGCUAUUUCAUAUCUUAGUUGGCUCUCUUUUCUGAAGCUAAAUUCAUUUCUUAGUUGUUUCCCUUUUUGAAAGGCUAUUUUAGAUUUUAAGUUGUCUGGCUUUCCUGAUAGGGUAUUUUUGUAUCUUAAUUGUCUCCUAUCUCUCUAGGUUAUUUAAUUUCUUUGAUGUCAAUAUGGAGGUAAAAUUUUUUGACAUUUGAUUCGUUAAAACAUUUCUCAAAGCUGCCAAUUUAAUGAUACCCAAAAUUAAUCUAUUUUAUUAUUCCCUGUUUUAGAAUUUCCAUUCAAAUCAAUGAGUGACAUAAAACAAAACAAAAAUAAAAAAUUCUAUCUGAAAGGAAAUUAAGAACAAACUAUCAAAGGGAGGGAAUUUUUUAAAUGUAAUCAGGAAGUAAUUUACUAAUUUCAAUUUUGUUAGAAAACUUAGAUUGUUUGUUACAUAUGUUGUUACUAAUAAAUAUAUUUGUUAUCAUCGACAUGUGUUGCUAUAGUUACAACAUUGACCUUAACAUUCUCAUUCAUAGCCUUUCAUUCUUAGUUUAAUUAUUGCUGUUUAGAAUAUUGUGUAUAUAAGAAUAACAUCUUUAGUAGUUAAUUGUGAUACAUCAUGUUAAUAUUUUGCAGGCAAUAAAAUAACACUUAAAUAUU